UACGAAGGGGGCUAGCGUUGCUCGGAAUCACUGGGCGUAAAGGGUGCGUAGGCGGGUCUUUUAAGUCAGGGGUGAAAUCCUGGAGCUCAACUCCAGAACUGCCUUUGAUACUGAAGAUCUUGAGUCCGGGAGAGGUGAGUGGAACUGCGAGUGUAGAGGUGAAAUUCGUAGAUAUUCGCAAGAACACCAGUGGCGAAGGCGGCUCACUGGCCCGGUACUGACGCUGAGGUGCGAAAGCGUGGGGAGCAAACAGGG
rnacentral:rRNA from 1 species